UACGGAGGGUGCGAGCGUUGUCCGGAAUCACUGGGCGUAAAGGGCGCGUAGGCGGCCUGAUAAGUAGGGGUGAAAUCCUGCGGCUUAACCGCAGGGCUGCCUUCUAAACUGUCGGGCUAGAGCACGGUAGAGGCAGAUGGAAUUCCCGGUGUAGCGGUGGAAUGCGUAGAGAUCGGGAAGAACAUCAGUGGCGAAGGCGGUCUGCUGGGCCGUUGCUGACGCUGAGGCGCGACAGCGUGGGGAGCAAACCGG
rnacentral:rRNA from 1 species